AGAGUUUGAUCAUGGCUCAGAAUGAACGCUGGCGGCACGCUUAACACAUGCAAGUCGAACGAGAUCUUCGGAUCUAGUGGCAGACGGGUGAGUAACGCGUGGGAACCUGCCCUUUAGUAGAGAACAACUUGAGGAAACUUAAGCUAAUACUUUAUACGCCCUUCGGGGGAAAGCUUUAUGCGCUAUUGGAUGGGCCCGCGUUAGAUUAGUUUGUUGGUGAGGUAACGGCUCACCAAGACUUCGAUCUAUAGCUGGUCUGAGAGGAUGAUCAGCCACACUGGGACUGAGACACGGCCCAGACUCCUACGGGAGGCAGCAGUGGGGAAUAUUGGACAAUGGGGGCAACCCUGAUCCAGCGAUGCCGCGUGAGUGAUGAAGGCCUUAGGGUUGUAAAGCUCUUUCGUCAGGGAAGAUAAUGACGGUACCUGAAGAAGAAGAUCCGGCUAACUCCGUGCCAGCAGCCGCGGUAAUACGGAGGGAUCUAGCGUUAUUCGGAAUUACUGGGCGUAAAGCGAGCGUAGGCGGAUUUGUAAGUUGGAGGUGAAAUCCCAGAGCUUAACUCUGGAACUGCCUUCAAAACUACAUUUCUUGAGUUUGGUAGAGGAGAGUGGAAUUCCUAGUGUAGAGGUGAAAUUCGUAGAUAUUAGGAGGAACACCAGUGGCGAAGGCGACUCUCUGGGCCAAUACUGACGCUGAGGUUCGAAAGCAUGGGUAGCGAACAGGAUUAGAUACCCUGGUAGUCCAUGCAGUAAACGAUGAGUGCUAGAUGUUGGAAACUUUAGUUUUCAGUAUCGCAGUUAACGCGUUAAGCACUCCGCCUGGGAAGUACGGCCGCAAGGCUAAAACUCAAAUGAAUUGACGGGGACCCGCACAAGCGGUGGAUCAUGUGGUUUAAUUCGAAGAUACGCGAAGAACCUUACCGGCCCUUGACAUACCAAUCGCGAACUUAAGAGAUUAAGUUCUUCACUUCGGGUGGAUUGGAUACAGGUGCUGCAUGGCUGUCGUCAGCUCGUGUCGUGAGAUGUU
rnacentral:rRNA from 1 species